rnacentral:pre_miRNA from 1 species
AAAAAGACAAACCCUGGUUUCCGUGCCCAACGUUUGACCGUCCGUCUUAUUUUAAAAAAUUAUAAAAAAAAUUAAAAAGAUAAGUCACGCACAAAGUAUUAAUCAUGUUUUAUCAUCUAACAACAAUAAAAAUACGAAUUAUAAAAAAAUUUCAUAUAAGACGGACAGUCAAAGUUGAACACGAAAAUUCAGGGUUUGUCUUUUU